UUCAUCAUUGUUCUUUUAGAGACGUUUAAUAAUUAUUCUAAUUUUAAAAAAGAAAUUAUAACAACAAUAUAAUCAUUAAAAAAAAUUUAAUUGAUGUAAACAUAAGAAAUGGAUUUUACUAUAUAUAAAGCCUUUAAACCAAUUUAUAUUUGUUACAUGCAAAGGUGGGAAAAAAAUGCCUCAAACUCUCAAGUUUGCUUAUAUUGCGAUCCUUUUUGUUUUCCUUUUAAACGUUGUAGUCUUUGGUUUUAGUAAGCUCAUUCUCAUUUUAUAUUUUGUUUAUUUUAUACACAAUCUUUCACUUAUUUUAGUAAUAUUUUCUUAUUUUUAAUGUACAUUACAGAGUGUGAUACUCAUGAAAAUUGCUAUAAAAUAUUCCCAACUAUUAUUCCAGAAACACUGAAGUGCGUGGAAAGUUUUUGUUCCAUCAUACUUCUUAGUAGUGAUCUUCAGUAAGUCUUAUUUCUCUAUUAUUACCUCCUAGUUUUUUGCUCAUAAUAAUAUUUCACUCUUAUAAUUUCUCUUAUACUUUCAUAUCUUUCUCCAAUCUUGUAAAAGCACGUUAAACAUUUUUUUGAAUGGAAUAUAUAUAUAUAUAUAUAUAUAUAUAUAUAUANNNNNNNNNNNNNNNNNNNNNNNNNNNNNNNNNNNNNNAUAUAUAUUAAUAAAUGAUUACAAGGCGUAAUCCAAUGAAGAAGCAUAUUUAAUGUUGGGGAAUUAACAAUGUAGAGAUUUUAAAGCAUAAAUAUGACCUACAUGAUUAAUUUAUAAUCUAAGAAGAUUAGAAUUGAGUUAUAGAUCUCAAUAGAAGAGACCAAAUAAUUGAGUUUUACCCUUUAGGAUGUUAUCUUGAGGAUGUCUUGUUACAACUACCAUCUAAUAACAUAAUAGUAUCAUCAUAAUCGACUAUAAACCAUAAAAUUGGCCGAAAACCGAAAAUCGGCCAAAAACCAUAAAAUCGGCCGAAAAACCCAAAAAAAUCGGCCAAAAAAUCUAAAAUCGAUCAAAAAGUCUAAAAUCGAUCGUAAACACAAAAUCAACCGAAAACCCAAAAAAUCAGUCAAAAACCCAAAAACCAACCCAAAACCCAAAAAAUUGGCCGAAAAACCUAAAAAUCGGCCAAAAACCCAAAAAUCGACUAUAAACCCAAAAAUCGACUUUAAAUCCUAAAAAUCGACUUCAAAUUCUCUGGUUUUAGGUGUUAUUUUAAAAUUCUCUAAAUUUAAUUUGAAUAAAAUACUUCAUUAAUUUGAAUAAACCCCAAUAAUUAUAAAUUCGGGAAACUAACAAUAUCAUAAUAGUCAAUGUGGUACUUAAAUUCACCCUAAAGUGUGUUGUUCCUUUUUNNNNNNNNNNNNNNNNNNNNNNNNNNNNNNNNNNNNNNNNNNNNNNNNNNNNNNNNNNNNNNNNNNNNNNNNNNNNNNNNNNNNNNNNNNNNNNNNUGCCCCCCACCAAAAUUCUGCACAAAAUCUGCUUCUGAGUCUCAAGUUCAAAGCUUCGCACAGAACUCAAUUUGGAUCAAUAAUUCACCAAACUGGUACCGAAACUACCAAAAUCGAGUUAGUUUUCCACAGAAUCAAACUCCAUUAAGAUUGAAGUUUUAGUUGUCAGUAAAAGCAUUGAACAGUAAAAGCAUUGAACGACGGUUUCAAUGUAAUCUAAAAGUUUCUAUUGAGGAUUUACAUGUUGUGAAUAAUUUUAUCAUAUGAACAAUAUUGAGAUGAGUCACCAUGUUCAAGAGAGGUAUGGUGUUCUGAUGAUACUUUGUUUAUGACGUACGUAUCUUCCGAAAGGUGAGGAUGUUAUUAAGUUUUUUAUGAGAGUUACAAGAUGAUAUUUGUUCGUAUAUUUGUUGUGAAACAUACAUCAUACAUAGGUUGUUUAACAUGCAACGAUGAAGGACCCGUGGAUGUUGUUUUAGCCUGGAGGUGUUUAAGCUUCGGAAUGGAAACCCCAAUAAUUAUAAAUUCGGGAAACUAACAAUAUCAUAAUAGUCAAUGUGGUACUUAAAUUCACCCUAAAGUGUGUUGUUCCUUUUUUUUUUGACAUGUAUCCUCCUAGUAUACUAUCUUGAAUUUCAAUUAUUUGUUCAACAUGAGGUGGAUCAACAUUGCAUUUGACAUGUUAACCUGAAGAUUUAUUUUUCAAAUGUACUUCUAUGUAUUUGCUUCAAUCGAUUGAAAUUGUUAUAUACCAUUUGAAGUGAUUUGUAACUUAUCUCACCCCAUGUUUUCUCCAUAUUUAUCUUUAAUGAAUUAUAUGCAGGCCCAAACCUAAUUAGGACGAGACCGAGUAGUAGUAUCGAGGUGUUUCUUCAUGAGAAUAAAGUGGAGCAUUAGGGUGUUCUAUAGAGUUCGUUGGAUUAUUCUCACAAAAAUAAUAGUGGAUGCUAUAUCCAUUCCCCACUAAUAUAUAUGUAAUUUUUUUUACGAAUAAAUGUUCUCUUCCUUAAUAUAGACUAUUUUCUUUUUCUUUGAGCACUGCACUCUCUUUUUCUUCGCCUGAUGUUUCCCGUAGGGAUUUAAAUGUAUGGUUUUUAAUGAGACAAUUGUCAUUUAUUUCAAGUCCAACUUGGAUAUUGGCCUAGUGCAACAAGUUUUGUAUUCUUGAUUUUAAUUUAAUGUUAUUGUGAGUUAGCUUGAUUUUUAAGUUGAUUGAAGGAUUUCUCCAGUAGGAUUUAAAUGUAAGGUUUUUAAUGAGGCAGUUAUCAUUUGUUUUAGGUCUAACUUGGAUGUCCUCCAAGUUUUGUAUUCUCGAUUUUAAUUUUAUGUUAUUGUGAGUUAGCUUGAUAUUUUUAAGUUGAUUGAUGGAUUGCCAACCAAUAUAUUUUAUUAGAAUGUUGUAUUUAUGUGACUAUGGCGCAUUGGGCGCUGGCGGCAGGGGCAAACUCAGUUUCUGCGCAUGGUGAGGCAGAAACCUGUGCAUGUUGCGCCAAAAGCAGAUAUGAACCUAGAAACGUGAUUUUGAGCGUAUAACUGUAUAAGCACUUAUUUUAACCCCAGGGUCACUUAUUUCAAUGCCACAACAUAUACCAAGCAUAUACUACGUCUAUACAUGUUCAAAAACACUAAUAAGCAACUUAUUAACAUCAAUAAUCACUUAUUUCAUAGAUUUUAACACAUUUAUAAACAAACUUCCUAAACAACAAGUUCUUAACAAAACAUCUACAAAUACCCAUUUUAAAACCCAUCAAUUCGUUAUACAACAUGUUAAGAGGUUAUUAAACAUGUUAGGAUCACUCAAGACUAUAUAUCUACUCUCAUACCUGGAUUUGACGAGAUAUCGAUGAUUUACUCUUGAAAUCUCUACCCAAGCUUUGCCUUAGCUCUCCUCUUCUCUUCCUUCUCUCUAACUGUCCAAAGAAACAAAGAAAAUGAAUGUUUUCUCUCUCGAAAGGGCUUAAGUAGCGCCACCCAUGUGUGUUCAAGGCCCAUUGGGUCUCAAGCCCAAUUGCUCGGUCCAACUAGCGUUAAAACUCAUAAACCCGGGUGUUAACUUAAGAUCUCGUCAAACAAUUAUUUGCCACUAAAUUAAUUAAAAGUCAUCGCAACAAUUAAUUUAGCACUUAAAUAGCAAAUAAUAAAAUCAGGUCCUUACAGGAUCUGCCACUGAUAACACAUGUAUUGUCCUUUCGUACAAGCACUUGAUGACGGCUUAGGCUCUUCACCUUUGAUCUGUGCCCGCAUGCGUAUUCGCCGUGGUCGUUUGCCACAUGCUNNNNNNNNNNNNNNNNNNNNNNNCUUUUAGCCGAUCUAGAACAACGGCUAUAUAUACAGCUAGUCCUCAUGUGUUUGAUUUGAUGCCAAAUUGUAUCGCUACUAAAAAAAAUCAAUCUAAUAUUAAAUCUUAGCUAAUUAACAUGGGUAGAUAAAAUCAACCACUACAAGAAAAGUUGUACAUACUCAUGGCUUUUUUACGCGGGGCUCUUUUCCGUGGAUAUUACUCAUGGCUUAUCUAUGGGUAACAUAAAAAUAAGGAAACUAUUCAUUCCCACCCAAAUUUUUUUCACGAAAACGCACUAUUCAUUCCCACCCAACUUUUUUUCACGAAAACACAGUUCCCACGACAUAUCCGUAUGUAAGCAAAAAAAUAUAACAUUUAGUAUCCACGGCAUUUUCUUGGAUAAUGAGUUACCAACGAGGCAAUAUGUCACAGACCAAUGCCAUGGGUAAUCCGUGGGUAGAUCUCAUGUACUCAUAGUGAAGCCGUGAGUAAUGGCAAAAAUGGCCGUGGGUAUAAACAAAUUUUCUUGUAGUGAACUAAACCAUGAUAGUAUCGCGUGCUCAUGGUUUUGCUUUCAUUCGGCAAGUGAAUGUUAUUGGAAAUCUUUAAUGGGAUGUCUCGUUCUAACCAUAUUUUAUUUAACCACAAAAUUCAAACGUGACAUAUUCAAGAUAUGUGGGUCAUGUUACACAAAUUUCAAUACAUAAAAUAAAAUAAUAAAAGGUUUGUAAAACUAAAAUGAACUCUAUAUUUUCAAGCAAAGUUAUUUUGUGUGCUUGCGAUUUUUUUAUCACUCAACAAGAGAAUUUUAUUGGAAAUAUUUAAUGGGAUCUCUCAUUCUAACCAUAUUUUACUUAACCAGAAAAUUCAAAUGCGAGACAUUCAAGAUAUGUGGAUUCCAAUACAUAAAAUAAUUUUAGUUUUUCCCACUCUAUAAUGAAAGGAUAGACAAGAAAUAAAAAUUAUUAUAAUAAUAAUGAAAGGUUGGUAAAACAAAAAUGAACUCUAUAAUUACAAGCAAAGUUAUUUUUGUGAUAUAUAUAUUCUAUGAACUAAAGGAACAAAUAUUAUCCAUCAGUGUUCUUUAGAAACAUUUAAUAAUUAUUCCAAUUUUAGAAAAUAAAUUACAGCAACAACAUAAUCAUUAAAAACUACUUAAUUGAUGUAAACAUAAGAAAUGGUUUUUACUAUAUAAAGUGAUUAAACCAAUUUAAAUUUGUUACAAUUAAAGGGAAAAAAUGGCUCAAAUUCUCAAAUUUGCUUAUAUUGUGAUUCUUUUUGUUUCCCUUUUUGUCGUUGUAGUCUUUGGCUCAAGCUAUAGUAAGCUCAUUCUCAUAUUAUAUUUUGUUUAUUUAUACACAAUCAUUCAUUUAUUUUAGUAAUAUUUUCUUAUUUUUAAUGUACAUUACAGAGUGUGAUACUCAUGAAGAUUGUUAUAAAUUAUUCCCAAAUGCUACUCCAGGAAUAAUGAAGUGUUGGGAAGGUCUUUGUGCCAUAAAAAUAUUGUAAGUCUUAUUUCUCUAUUAUUACCUCCUAGUUUUUUGCUCAUCAUAAUAUUUCACUCUUAUAUUUUCUCUUAUACUUUCAUAUCUUUCUCCGAUUUCGUAAAGCAUGUUAAACAUUUUUUUAAUGGAAUAUAUAUAUAUAUAAUUUUAAUAAACGAUUACAAGGUGUAAUCGAAUGAAGAAGCAUAAUUAAUAUAUUAUGAAAUCUUUGUUAUUAGUUUUUGUUGGGGAAUUAACAAUGUUGAGAUUUUUAAGGAUAAAUAUGACCUACAUGAUUGAUUUAUAAUCUAAGAAGAUUAGAAUUGAGUUAUAGAGCUCAAGAGAGACGAGAGCAAAUAAUUGAGUUUUACACUUUAGAAUGUUAUCUUAAGGAUGUCUUGUUACAAGUAUAUGUACAUCUUUGAAGGUUUGGUUUUCAAAUGUAUUUCUGUGUAUUGGUUUCAAUAAAUUGAAAUAGUUAUACCACUGAAGUGAUUUGUAAAUUAUCUCACCCCGUGUUUUUUACAUAUUAUCUUUAAUGAAUUAUAUGCAGGCGCAACGCGAACGCGAACUAGUAUCGAGGUGUUUGUUCAUGAAAAUAAAGUGGAGCAACAGGGUGUUCUAUGAGUUUGUUGGAUUAUUCUCAAAAAAAUAAUAGUGGGAUGCUAUCCCCCAUUCCCCACUAAGAUAGAUUAUGUUAGUUUUUUGUUAGCACUAUUGCACUCUUUUUUCCUUCUCCUGAUUUUUCCUACGAAAUUUAAAGGUAAGGUUUUUAAUAAGACAAUUGUCAUUUGUUUUAGGUCUAACUUGGAUGUCCUCCAAGUUUGUAUUCUCGAUUUUAAUUUUAAGUUAUUGUGAGUUAGCUAGAUUUUUAAAGUUGAUUGAUGAAUUGCCGACCAAUAUAUUUUAUUAUUUUAUGUUGUAUUUAUGUGCUAUGGAUGACAGUUGGAGUAAGCCCUAGAGGCCAAUAA
rnacentral:lncRNA from 1 species